rnacentral:rRNA from 1 species
AUUGAACGCUGGCGGCAGGCCUAACACAUGCAAGUCGAGCGGAUGAAGGGAGCUUGCUCCUGGAUUCAGCGGCGGACGGGUGAGUAAUGCCUAGGAAUCUGCCUGGUAGUGGGGGAUAACGUCCGGAAACGGGCGCUAAUACCGCAUACGUCCUGAGGGAGAAAGUGGGGGAUCUUCGGACCUCACGCUAUCAGAUGAGCCUAGGUCGGAUUAGCUAGUUGGUGGGGUAAAGGCCUACCAAGGCGACGAUCCGUAACUGGUCUGAGAGGAUGAUCAGUCACCCUGGAACUGGGACACGGUCCAGACUCCUACGGGAGGCAGCAGUGGGGAAUAUUGGCCAAUGGGCGAAAGCCUGAUCCAGCCAUGCCGCGUGUGUGAAGAAGGUCUUCGGAUUGUAAAGCCCUUUAAGUUGGGAGGAAGGGCAGUAAGUUAAUACCUUGCUGUUUUGACGUUACCCACAGAAUAAGCACCGGCUAACUUCGUG